rnacentral:rRNA from 1 species
GCUUGUCUCAAAGAUUAAGCCAUGCAUGUCUAAGUAUAAACUGCUUUAUACUGUGAAACUGCGAAUGGCUCAUUAUAUCAGUUAUAGUCUACUCGAUAGUACCUUACUACUUGGAUAACCGUAGUAAUUCUAGAGCUAAUACAUGCGCAAAUACCCAACUGCUUGUCGGACGGGUAGCAUUUAUUAGAUUGAAACCAAUGCAGUCUUCGGGCUGGUAUUGUGUUGAGUCAUAAUAACUGUGCGGAUCGCGUUUUACGCGAUAAAUCGAUUGAGUUUCUGCCCUAUCAGCUUUGGAUGGUAGGAUAUGGGCCUACCAUGGCAUUAACGGGUAACGGGGAAUUAGGGUUCGAUUCCGGAGAAGGAGCCUGAGAAACGGCUACUACAUCUAAGGAAGGCAGCAGG